AUGGCAUAACGAGGGUUUAACUGUCUCCUUCCCCUAGUCAAUGAAAUUGAUCUGCCCGUGCAGAAGCGGACAUAAACACAUAAGACGAGAAGACCCUAUGGAGCUUUAGACAAAAGAUCAAACAUGUAAAGAAACCAAACCAACCAAAAGGAACACGAAGGCCACAAAACCCAACGUAAACUGAUCUAAAUGUCUUCGGUUGGGGCGACCAUGGGGGAAAGAAAAGCCCCCACGAGGAACAGG
rnacentral:rRNA from 1 species